GUGCUCGCUUCGGCAGCACAUAUACUAAAACUGGAACGAUACAGAGAAGAUUGCCCUGCACAAGGAUGACACGCAAACUGGUGAGGCGUUCCAUAUUUUU
rnacentral:snRNA from 1 species